GGAGAGUGGACCGGGGCGGGAGUGGUGAGAGGGGAUGGACUGGGAGGGCCUGUCUAGGCACCUGGGGGGUGGCAGGGGCCAGGUGGGACCUUACUGUCUUCCUUUUAGGGAGAAGACUGGGCUCUGGGAAGUGUGGUGGCCUCUUGAGGGGACUUUUUUCCUUUUUAGUGGACACGAUCCAAGCAGUCUAUCUUGGGGAAGAGUUGCCAGAGAAAAUACAGGACUCCCAGUUUCAGAUCAACACAUGCGUCUUAUUGUAGUCUCAUAUCUUACGGGACCACGGCUUUGUUCAGCUGGAAGAGACUAUAGAGGUCAGAGGCUAUUUUUGAAGAAGAGGUACAGAAGACCAACAUCAUGCAUGAGUUUGCCUUCCGAGUCACUCAGGAUCAGGGCGGUGCUGAGUUCUGAUUGGAUGGGCUUCUAUGAGAUCUGAUUGGUUGGAUCAUGCGUUGGAAAUGUCAAUAAAGCAGGUUGCAACUUCUUGCUUUUAAUUUGCAUAGUACAGAGUAUAUACAACAUGGACUCUGGAGUCAGUUUACUUGGAUCUAAAUCCUUAUUUCACAUUUACUGGUUGUAUAGACAGGGCGGGUUGCUAAAAUCCUGUAUUAUCUCAGUAUUCUUGUAUGCAAGAUGGGUAUAAUAGUCAUGUUUGCCUCAUUGGGCUACUGGAGGGUUAAACGUGUGAAUACAGCUAAAGAUCUUUAAAAAUUUUUUUUUUUUUAUGUUUGUUCAUUUUUGAAAGAGAGAGACAGAGCACAAGCAGGGGUGGGGCGGAGA